UUGAAAAGAAUAAAAUCUGAAGAACUUCAGGAAACGUUGUCCAUCGCUGUUAAGAUGACCUUGAACACUUUACAUGACUUUCUGAGCCUCUUUUUCCUCAUUAAAAGAGAGAUUGCAUCACCCACUCUGCUUACUCACAAGGAAUUUGUAAGGAUUAAAUUAAAUAAUGACUAUGCAAAUAAAAGUACUGUUAUUCGAGCGAGACUCCGUC
rnacentral:lncRNA from 1 species